rnacentral:rRNA from 1 species
ACUCCUACGGGAGGCAGCAGUGGGGAAUAUUGCACAAUGGGGGAAACCCUGAUGCAGCCAUGCCGCGUGUGUGAAGAAGGCCUUCGGGUUGUAAGUACUUUCAGCAGUGAGGAAGGCGGAGGUCGUUAAUAGCGGCCUCGUUUGACGUUAGCUGCAGAAGAAGCACCGGCUAACUCCGUGCCAGCAGCCGCGGUAAUACGGAGGGUGCGAGCGUUAAUCGGAAUUACUGGGCGUAAAGCGCAUGCAGGUGGUUUGUUAAGUCAGAUGUGAAAGCCCGGGGCUCAACCUCGGAAUUGCAUUUGAAACUGGCAGACUAGAGUACUGUAGAGGGGGGUAGAAUUUCAGGUGUAGCGGUGAAAUGCGUAGAGAUCUGAAGGAAUACCGGUGGCGAAGGCGGCCCCCUGGACAGAUACUGACACUCAGAUGCGAAAGCGUGGGGAGCAAACA